GACGAACGCUGGCGGCGUGCUUAACACAUGCAAGUCGAACGGGCCUUGUCCCCUUUUUUUGGGGUGGGGUUAGUGGCGAACGGGUGAGUAACACGUGAGUAACCUGCCCCUCACUUCUGGAUAACCGCUUGAAAGGGUGGCUAAUACGGGGUGUUCUGGCCUGCUCGCAUGGGUGGGUUUGGAAAGAUUCGACCGGUUUUGGUUGUUUUGGUGGGGGGAUGGGCUCGCGGCCUAUCAGCUUGUUGGUGGGGUGAUGGCCUGCCAAGGCUUUGACGGGUAGCCGGCCUGAGAGGGUGGGCGGUCACACUGGGACUGAGACACGGCCCAGACUCCUACGGGAGGCAGCAGUGGGGAAUAUUGCACAAUGGGCGCAAGCCUGAUGCAGCGACGCCGCGUGAGGGAUGGAGGCCUUCGGGUUGUGAACCUCUUUCGCCAGUGAAGAAGGUCCUGCUCUUUGUGGUGGGGUUGACGGUAGCUGGGUUAAUGAAGCGCCGGCUAACUACGUGCCAG
rnacentral:rRNA from 1 species